AACGCUAGCUACAGGCUUAACACAUGCAAGUCGAGGGGCAGCAUCAUCAAAGCUUGCUUUGAUGGAUGGCGACCGGCGCACGGGUGAGUAACACGUAUCCAACCUGCCGACAACACUGGGAUAGCCUUUCGAAAGAAAGAUUAAUACCGGAUGGCAUAGUUUUCCCGCAUGGGAUAAUUAUUAAAGAAUUUCGGUUGUCGAUGGGGAUGCGUUCCAUUAGGCAGUUGGCGGGGUAACGGCCCACCAAACCUACGAUGGAUAGGGGUUCUGAGAGGAAGGUCCCCCACAUUGGAACUGAGACACGGUCCAAACUCCUACGGGAGGCAGCAGUGAGGAAUAUUGGUCAAUGGACGAGAGUCUGAACCAGCCAAGUAGCGUGAAGGAUGACUGCCCUAUGGGUUGUAAACUUCUUUUAUACGGGAAUAAAGUGAGCCACGUGUGGCCUUUUGUAUGUACCGUAUGAAUAAGGAUCGGCUAACUCCGUGCCAGCAGCCGCGGUAAUACGGAGGAUCCGAGCGUUAUCCGGAUUUAUUGGGUUUAAAGGGAGCGUAGGCGGGUUGUUAAGUCAGUUGUGAAAGUUUGCGGCUCAACCGUAAAAUUGCAGUUGAUACUGGCGACCUUGAGUGCAACAGAGGUAGGCGGAAUUCGUGGUGUAGCGGUGAAAUGCUUAGAUAUCACGAAGAACUCCGAUUG
rnacentral:rRNA from 1 species